rnacentral:lncRNA from 1 species
GCCCAGGUGAACCGUCUUCUUGAACUCCAACGCUGUCAUGUGUUCUUCCAGGUUCUUGGAAAAGAGCUCCUUCAUGAACUCCUCGGGCGUGAUGGACGUGUCAACGUCAUACACCACGACCUGGGGUCUGGUCUCCGGGCGCUUCUUCACGUCCAGACCUGCUUCCUGGAACUUGGCGCUGUCCACUACCUUUCGGAGCUCGCUCACGGAAGGCGUGCGAAUGAUCG